rnacentral:lncRNA from 1 species
GGACAGAUGGGGAGGCUGAGGCCCAGAAGGGGGCUGAGACCACCUCCCAAUUUCCCCAGCGAGGUGGCGCCUGAGCCGCGGCCAGGCCCGGCCUCUUUCCACCCGGCCCUGCUGUGCGCGCGGCAGGUGCUGACCUGGCGAGGCCGGACAGGGGACCAGGUCGGGGUGACCGUCACUGACACCUGGACAGUCCUCGUUGCGUUCGGGGUGGGAGGCCCACGGAUCUUCAGAGGGAGGGCACCAGCAGUGGACUGCGGGACACCCGGAGCGGACUGCAGGAGGACACAGAAGCUAGGCUGAAGCGGGAGGAAGCUGGGAACCCUGUGCGGGGCCACUGCGCACCGGGACUCGUUACUGGUCCCCAAGACUCUGGGAGAAUGGGGAAGAGUGUAUCACAGCCAUUGGGAACUUUCUUCACCCAUCAAAGCCUCAGGGCUGAAGCAUCCUGAACAAGAACUCAGGAGAGUGAAAGAAACAGUUACCUGUCGGCUGCAGCUGGUACCAGCUCCCCACCCUGUACAGAACCCGAAGCGUCCUCUCUCUCCCCAUCACCCAGCACCAGACUCUGCCCCGUGACCUCAGCCUGCACCUGCUUCCUGGCUCCAUCCAGCCUUCCAGCCUCACUAGAUCAUCAUGGGCCAUUGGCCAACACACAGGGCAGUGCCGAGCCCAGGCCGUGGUCACACAUGGCUGGGUUAGUAGCUGAAAACAUUGUUUUUCACUGGCCUCACAGUAAUGGCACCUGCCCCCAUUUUCUGUGAUUGAAUUUUUGGAUCCUGCUACCAGGUUAUGAUAGAUUUUAUGGUAUGUCUCAAGAUGUUGAGAUAAAGGUAA